rnacentral:rRNA from 1 species
GACGAACGCUGGCGGCGUGCCUAAUACAUGCAAGUAGAACGCUGAAGGAGGAGCUUGCUUCUCUGGAUGAGUUGCGAACGGGUGAGUAACGCGUAGGUAACCUGCCUGGUAGCGGGGGAUAACUAUUGGAAACGAUAGCUAAUACCGCAUAAGAGUAGAUGUUGCAUGACAUUUGCUUAAAAGGUGCAAUUGCAUCACUACCAGAUGGACCUGCGUUGUAUUAGCUAGUUGGUGAGGUAACGGCUCACCAAGGCAACGAUACAUAGCCGACCUGAGAGGGUGAUCGGCCACACUGGGACUGAGACACGGCCCAGACGCCUACGGGAGGCAGCAGUAGGGAAUCGUCGGCAAUGGACGGAAGUCUGACCGAGCAACGCCGCGUGAGUGAAGAAGGUUUUCGGAUCGUAAAGCUCUGUUGUAAGAGAAGAACGAGUGUGAGAGUGGAAAGUUCACACUGUGACGGUAUCUGACCAGAAAGGGACGGCUAACUACGUG